rnacentral:rRNA from 1 species
AGAGUUUGAUCCUGGCUCAGGACGAACGCUGGCGGCGUGCUUAACACAUGCAAGUCGAACGAUGAAGCCUUCGGGUGGAUUAGUGGCAGAACGGGUGAGUAACACGUGGGAAAUCUGCCCUGAACUCUGGGACAAGCCUGGGAAACGGGUCUAAUACCGGAUAUGACCGUGGAGCGGAUGCUCUGUGGUGGAAAGCUCCGGCGGUUCAGGAUGAUCCCGCGGCCUAUCAGCUUGUUGGUGGGGUAAUGGCCUACCAAGGCGACGACGGGUAGCCGGCCUGAGAGGGCGACCGGCCACACUAGGACUGAGACACGGCCCAGACUCCUACGGGAGGCAGCAGUGGGGAAUAUUGCACAAUGGGCGAAAGCCUGAUGCAGCGACGCCGCGUGAGGGAUGACGGCCUUCGGGUUGUAAACCUCUUUCAGCAGGGAAGAAG